UUUUUGCUUUGCACACCCGAUUUUGGGUGUGUAGCUCAGUUGGUUUGAGCGCACCCCUUUUAAGGGUGAGGUCGGCAGUUCGAAUAUGCCCAGACCCACCAGUUACUUGGUGAAGUUGGACAGAGCGUGUACGACACCCGGAUACGGGUCCAUAGCUCAGCUGGGAGAGCGCGGGCCUUGCACGCAAGAGGUACAGCGAAUUGAUUCCGAAAGGCUACUACAAGUAAUAUAUGUUGAUUGUGUUUUUUGACGGAA
rnacentral:tRNA from 1 species